CUGUGAAACUGUGGUCAAUUAAACCUCUUUUCUUUGUAAAUUACCUAUUCUCAGGUAGUUCUUUAUAGCAACGUGAAAAGAGACUAAUACAACAAACAAUCUACUUACAAUAGAUCUGAGAAUAAAAUACCUGGGAAUAAAUUUAACCAAGAGGUGAAAGACCUGGACACUGAAAACUACAAAAAAUUGCUGGCAGAAGUUAAAGAGGAACGAAUUAAAUGACUCCUUCAGAAAUGCAACACAGAGGACUCUAGCCCAACGCAUAAUCUACACUCCAAACUGAAGUUUCUCCUUCAAACUUUGUCUGCUUUACCAUCCUGAUGAGCUUGCCUUCACAUUAACUCAAUGACCCAUGUUGCCCUGUUCACCGAAAUCCUGAAACCAACACUGAGGUAGUCCUGGAGCCUGGCUGUGGCUCUGCCCAACUUUCCUGAGCCACCUCCACUCCUUGCUACUACUGGUCACAGUGGAGAGAUACACAGAGGACAACAGGCAAGGAAAAAAGAGAGCUGAAGAUUAUCAUUAUUUCCUCACUCUUUUCAUCAAAGAUAUUAUCUCCUGGUCCUGAAAUAGUACUGCUCCUUGACACCCUCCUGAGAUACCAGACAAUAAAAAAUGUAGAUUUUAAAAAGUAACCAUCACCUUAUGCUUUAUAAUAAGCCACAAUUUUGUGCUGUUCUUAUUCUAUUAAAGACAAUCGCUACAAUAUAUAAACAUGGUUAGAAACCAUGCAAGCAAGAAAAGCAUGUGGUGAAAUAUUUAAAGAAUUGAAAGGAAAAAAAAAUCUACCUAGAAGUUUGUACCCAGUGAAAUUAUCCUCCAAAAGUGAAGGAAAAAUAAAGACUUUAUCAGAAAAAAGAAUUGAUGUAGACCUACCUUGCAAAGAAGGAUUACAAGAAGUUCUUCAGAGAGGAGGAAAAUGGUGUAGGUCAGAAACUUGGGUCUGCAUAAGCAACAGGGAGCAUCAGGAAAGAAGUUAGGUUGUCAAUAAAAGAGCCACGAGAGAGAGAGAAGAGAACUUGAAGAGACAAUAAAGGACACAAUUUGCUGCUUUCUGAAUCACUGAUGAAUCUGAGUCAGUUAAGGUAUAAAUGCUUCAAAAAUAAAUAGUAUGAAUGGCAAGAAUGGACUCUUGUUAAGUACUUUCUAAUAGUAGAAUUUGCAUUUAUUAUAAACCUGCAUCGAUGUUGCACUUUUAUCAAAAUUAAAGCCAUUAAGUCAAAUAAUCCUAGUUUAAUUAUGAAUAAGAGAUGUAUUAAUCAACUACUGUAAGUACAUUGUCACAUUAUUUAAAGAAAACUAAAAAAUCAUUUUGACAAGGAGAUCAUGUGCCAAACUUAAUAAACAUAGCCAGGACAAUUUGGGUUGCUUAAAGAUUUUUAAAAACAAAUUUGUAUGGAGAUUUUUGCAGCAUGGAUAUGGAUAUAGAUAUAGAUAAGUAGAUAUAUAUAUAUAUGAAACAAGAUCAUUAGCAAUGUUUAGGUCUG